UACGUAGGGUGCAAGCGUUGUCCGGAAUUAUUGGGCGUAAAGAGCUCGUAGGCGGUUUGUCGCGUCGGCUGUGAAAACUGGAGGCUUAACCUUCAGCGUGCAGUCGAUACGGGCAUCACUGGAGUUCGGCAGGGGAGACUGGAAUUCCUGGUGUAGCGGUGAAAUGCGCAGAUAUCAGGAGGAACACCGGUGGCGAAGGCGGGUCUCUGGGCCGAAUACUGACGCUGGAGGAGCGAAAGCGUGGGGAGCGAACAGGA
rnacentral:rRNA from 1 species